GACGAACGCUGGCGGCGUGCCUAAUACAUGCAAGUCGAGCGAAUGGAUUAAGAGCUUGCUCUUAUGAAGUUAGCGGCGGACGGGUGAGUAACACGUGGGUAACCUGCCCAUAAGACUGGGAUAACUCCGGGAAACCGGGGCUAAUACCGGAUAACAUUUUGAACCGCAUGGUUCGAAAUUGAAAGGCGGCUUCGGCUGUCACUUACGGAUGGACCCGCGUCGCAUUAGCUAGUUGGUGAGGUAACGGCUCACCAAGGCAACGAUGCGUAGCCGACCUGAGAGGGGGAUCGGCCACACUGGGACUGAGACACGGCCCAGACUCCUACGGGAGGCAGCAGUAGAGAAUCUUCCGCAAUGGACGAAAGUCUGACGGAGCAACGCCGCGUGAGUGAUGAAGGCUUUCGGGUCGUAAAACUCUGUUGUUAGGGAAGAACAAGUGCUAGUUGAGUAAGCUGGCACCUUGACGGUACCUAACCAGAAAGCCACGGCUAACUACGUGCCAGCCGCCGCAGUAA
rnacentral:rRNA from 1 species